rnacentral:rRNA from 1 species
AUUGAACGCUGGCGGCAUGCCUUACACAUGCAAGUCGAACGGCAGCAUGGAGAGCUUGCUCUCUGAUGGCGAGUGGCGAACGGGUGAGUAAUGCAUCGGAACGUACCGUGUAAUGGGGGAUAACGUAGCGAAAGUUACGCUAAUACCGCAUACGACCUGAGGGUGAAAGCAGGGGAUCGCAAGACCUUGCGUUAUACGAGCGGCCGAUGUCAGAUUAGCUAGUUGGUAGGGUAAAGGCCUACCAAGGCGACGAUCUGUAGCGGGUCUGAGAGGAGGAUCCGCAACACUUGGACUGAGACACGGCCCAGACUCCUACGGGAGGCAGCAGUGGGGAAUUUUGGACAAUGGGGGCAACCCUGAUCCAGCCAUGCCGCGUGAGUGAAGAAGGCCUUCGGGUUGUAAAGCUCUUUCGGCCGGGAAGAAAUCGCACAGGCUAAUACUCUGUGUGGAUGACGGUACCGGCAUAAGAAGCACCGGCUAACUACGUGCCAGCAGCCGCGGUAA